rnacentral:rRNA from 1 species
UACGUAGGGGGCAAGCGUUGUCCGGAAUCAUUGGGCGUAAAGCGCGUGUAGGCGGCUCGGUAAGUCUGCUCUGAAAGUCCAAGGCUCAACCUUGGGAUGCGGGUGGAUACUGCCGGGCUCGAGUCCGGAAGAGGCGAGUGGAAUUCCUGGUGUAGCGGUGGAAUGCGCAGAUAUCAGGAGGAACACCGAUAGCGAAGGCAGCUGGCUGCGCGAAUAUUGACGCUGAUGCACGAAAGCGUGGGGAGCAAACAGG